UCUCAUUUUACAUUUUGACCAUGGAACACUGUCAGCUCUGCAAUAAUCACUGAAAGAGUGUCUCCUCCAAAUAAAUCCAGUGAUGGGAACAACAGUAAUAUUUCUGCAAAUAUGGGCAAUGGUGAACAAAGGAGGAUUCAAAAAGACCAAAGGACACUACAGCUCAACCCGGCUUCCUAACAGGAACAGUUGCAAUAUGACUAUGAGGAAGAAAUCAAGAUGCUCCAUGCAAUGGCUUCAUAGUAGUAAAGAAAUCUCGUGGAACUAAACAUGUCCUUCUUUGGUACAGAUGACACAAGACUGCAUUGCCAAUGCCUUGAUCUUCACACAGUAUCUUAGUAAGGGACAAGUUUAAAUAAGCCCUAAUACUUUGUUAACACUGUUGUACCUGUACAACAAGUAUCUUGCUUUCAAUUCUGCACACUGCUCCCAUGGAUUUCACAUAAGUUAUUGUAUUAUAAUGUUGAAAAAGAGAAAAAAAGGGAAAAAAAAUCAAGAACUUUCUAUGGAGAUUUUAUAAUGUGACUUGUCACAAGACAAUUGACAAAUAAAUAUUUGUGGGCUUUUCCAGCAGGUAAAACAUCUCUGUAUUGGAAAACAAAUGUGAUGCCAAACUAUCUAGAUCAUGCUUUAUUAUCAUGAGAUAAUCCCUGAUGAAAAUAAUACAAGUUCACUGUUUUCUGCCUUAAUGCUUUCUUGAAUGUAAGAGUGCCAUCAGAAACAGAAGGAACAUGGAGAGGAGACAGGGAAAACAGAAGACAAUAUGGUGAUAGUUUGAGAACAGAACAGCUCCUACUCUAAAAUGGCCAGUGACAUGUCAGAUCCAGGGAUUACAUUUCCAAUUAUUUCAGACACUUCGGGGGGAAAAAUGAAUAUGGUUGUUGUAGGAGCCAUAGGACUUUUCUUCAUGUAGCAAAAAAAUCAAGCUAAGCAAGAGUAUAAUAGAACUAUUUGAGAACAAGAUUGUCCAUGUGAAUGAGGAAGCCAUUCUUGAAGACCUAUACCUACAGAGAAGCUUUCAAAGAUCGCAGUCCAUUUCCUUCUCCAUAGUGACCUCAGCUGACUUUUCACAAUGUCUGUCUUCAUGAGCAAAGAACCUUUUAGUACUAUUAAUGCAGUAUAACCAACAUAGUAUAACCAAGUCAUAACCAACAGCAGGAAACAGAAAUUGAAGAUAGGAAAAAAUUAAAUAAGUUUACAUCUAGAGUGACUCUUCCUUAGCACAGAUUAAGCAGAAAAAGGAGACAGACAAGAUCCAGUGAAGUUCUCAUUAGACACAUGGAAAUAUUUCUCCCUAUGAAGGGUGGUCAAACACUAGAGCAGACUACCCUGAAAAUUAGUGGGAUCUCCACUCCUGGAGAUUUUUAAAACUCAAUAGAAAAGUCUUCUGUAACCUGAUCUGACUUUGAAGUUACUCCUCCUUUGAGCAACAAGUAAGUUAAAGCCUUUAAAGUUCUAUUUCAACUAAAACUAUUCCAAAAUGUUGUGAUGAUCUCUCAGCCUUUCUUAUCCUCACAUCAAAAGCAUAUGCAGUUCUAGAAGUGUUACAUUAACCAAGUAAAAGUAACACGUGAACAGAAACAAACUAUGGCAUAAAAUGAACACAGUUAAGUGUGACAGGAGGACAGAGCAAGUGAGUCAUCAGGAAUAUGUACAAAGAUGUAUAUACAUACAUUUUGUAUUUACAUACAUUUCCAUAUAUUUUGUAUUUGCAUACAAAAUUACUAACUUGGCCAACAAAAUAGAAUGUAAAAACUUGAUCAGCAACACAGAAACAAGUUUUCUGUGAUUUGCAUGACAGACUACGCAUUUAUGUCACCCCUUCCAGUGUCAACAAAGUUGAAGAUAUUGCAGUACAGUAUUGUAGUUCACAGCUACACUUACAUCCAGUUGGUUUCCCUACAUACUUCAAAUAAAAGAAUGAAC